rnacentral:lncRNA from 1 species
UCACAACCACUUUUUAUACUCUUUAUAUUUUAAAAACAACACACACAUAAUUUAAUUCCUUGGAUAUGAAUGCUCUAAAUAGGUGUUUUGAAAUUUGAAUUAGCGGAAACAUGGAAACUCAACGUAAAGUACAUAUUGGGGGACCACAAGUGAGCCAAUCAAAAUGCAAGCCAAUGUCAAAAGGCAGAGACCAACCCCUAGCCGCCUGAUAAAAUUUAGCCGGGUCUUUUACAUAUAAAUGGAUUUGAUUGGCUCUUUUGUGGUCUUUUUGAACUUUUCAUUCUUAAUUGUGCUGGCUAAGGCUCAGCCGACGGAGCUUAUUCGGCGUUACUUAAUUGGUUGGUUUUGAAUGCCUAAUUUGGUACAAAUAGAUGUUUUGACUUUAACUUUUCCAAAAUAGACGAUUUUUUU